GUAAGAGACAAUAUCUAAUCCCACAAGGCACAGCGGUUCAGAUGCUACUCCCACAUAGUCUCCAUGGUGGGAAGCAUUGAAAUUGAAGUUGGGAUACUCCAUGAAGUCACCAUCAUAUUCCUGAGGCAAGAAAUCAACAUGGGCCUUCUGAUUCUGAGGACAUGAACAAGAAUGACGAGGAGAUCAUACCAAGUAUGGCUUUCCUUCAAGACUGCGUCUGAUCGUGAUUUGCUCAAAGGGGAUUCCCAGCACCUCGUGCACUAAAGCAUACUGAAGCAACCUGCUCACCAGCGCCCUCUUCCUAUCCUCUAUCCUCACGAACCUGCCAAUUGCAAGCAGAAGAGAAAAGGGUCAAGAAGAGUCGAGUCGACAUUAUUGUCUCUCCCUUCUGAACGAGCAAAAAGAGGGACCUGAGGACAGAGGGCUGGUCGUGCUGAGGGAGGAGGGAGAGGGCGGAGGAGAAAGCGCGGGGAGAAGGGUCCCACUUUGAGAUGUCGACUAACCAUCUCUGAACUCCCUUCUCCAUCGUCGACUCCUCUUCUCCUCUCUAGAAAACUGAGCCGACAAAUGAUGAGCCACUGCUGCCGGCUAAUAACCGUUGACUUUGUCUUAGUUCUUCUUCUGCUUGCUAAUGCUAUAUCCUUGUAUGGAUUCACCAAAACAACGGAAAUACGUCCUACGUACCAUUCAUUCUUACGGUGGAAUGGAAAGAGAAGGGGAAUAGAGUCGAAGGACUUAUUAUAUAUGAGUUGUUUGCUCGGAGGUUUCAUCAAACGUA